CCCUCUCUGCUCAGUCUCUAUAAAUACCAAGCACAUUCCGAAAUUCUCAGGCCCUGGCACGUGCCACCGGCAAUUGUUGACAUCUAAACAUGAUUACAAAUCAAUGAGCCAAAGCUAAAACUGUUCGUUAAAAAAUGUUUUCCUUAAGUAUAUAAAGUUAAUAUUCUACGUUUUAAAAAUGCUACUAAUAUAUAGACAAUGCACCUGUUUUGUAUUAAACAUCUCAAUAUUUUAAAGUCUUUUGAGCUCUAUCCGCUGCAGUUUGAUACAUCAAUAAUGAUUGGAAUAGUAUGACAUGACACCAUGUCAGAUUAAAAGAAUUAUACAUAUGCAUGUGUUCCGCUACAUGAGUAUGAAAGAACUUGCUAUGGAAUUGCUUUAAUUUAUGUACCUGCAUAUCCCACUGCUAAUUUUCUCUUCUGUCAGAGUUUAUAUUUUCAUAUCAUACACUACAUCUCUACAUAUGUAGCCAAAACUAUAGAAAAAUUCCAUCUUUUCUAUUUAGAUAUGGGGCAAUUUAUAUCGACGAGACCAGUUGUUUGCAAAAGAAAGGGGGACCUCGUCCGUUAUGCAUGGGCCUCGGUGAAGUCUAAUUCUGUUAAUGAGAUUAUAAACCUUGAAGUCGGACCGCAGGUUCAUAGUUUCUAUGGAUAUAUAGACACCAAAAAGAAGGAGUAGGUAGAAUAGGUAGUCAUUGCCUGCAUGUCUGAAGAUUUUAAGCUAGCUAAGAAGCUAAUUGAUGUCGGGGCGGACAUUAAUUUACGUGUACGGAGUUACAAGCAGCAGGAGAAGGUUCCACCUUUGUAUUAUGCUAUAGCAGCAAGGGAUGCAGACAUUGUAAAGCUACUGUUAGAUUCAGGUGCGGAUGUGAACGAAUAUAAAGGAUAUAAGCAAUUAAUUACUCUUCAAAAGCCAGAGAGAGAGAGCGAUACAGUAUUAUUCUUUCGAAGUAUUCAAUAAAUUUACCAGUGAUUUCCGAUCGACCAUGGUCGCCAAUGACAAAAGUACUCGAGCUUUACUUGUUGGCCGGGGCAAAGUUAAACACAACUCGCUGGGGCCACUGUUUCUUUUAUGGGAGAGGUAAAGUCUACGAGUCUAGAAAUUGUCCACUGGGCAUUCCGGAUCCGUGCUUUUCCUGUGAUACAGUGGUUUUACUUCUGCAACACGGAAUUGAUCCAAACCAAUAUAAACUCAGCGACGUAUUGCAACAAUUUCCCUACCAUUACUACAUUCGUUACAGAUUAACAAGGGACUGUGUGAGUUUUCAUAUAUUGCUGCACAUAUUUAUUGCAGCUGGUUACCAAUAUACAAGUGACGAUCUAGACUCUCAAGAUACCCGGAUAAAAAUGAAAGAAUAUGGCUUUACUAUGGAAGAACCUCUUAGCUUAAAACAGAGUUGUCGUUCGCUGAUAAGGAAACACUUGCGGAUACUAAAUAAAGAUACAACAAUUUUUCCUUCUGUUGACAAGCUACCUAUCCCACUUCCGUUAAAGGAAUAUCUGAAAUUGUACAAUAUCAUUGACUUAAACAAUAGUUCAAUAGACUGUU